rnacentral:rRNA from 1 species
UACGGAGGAUCCGAGCGUUAUCCGGAUUUAUUGGGUUUAAAGGGUGCGUAGGCGGCUUCGCAAGUUGGGUGUGAAAUCCCUCGGCUCAACCGAGGAAUGGCGCCCAAAACUGCGGAGCUCGAGGGAGACAGAGGUGAGUGGAACUUGUGGUGGAGCGGUGAAAUGCGUUGAUAUCACAAGGAACACCGGUGGCGAAAGCGGCUCACUGGGUCUUUCUGACGCUGAGGCACGAAAGCUGGGGGAGCGAACGGGAUUAGAUACCCGCGUAGUCCCUGAG